AGUGAACGCUGGCGGUAGGCCUAACACAUGCGAGUCGAACGGCAGCACAGUAAGUGCUUGCGCUUACGGGUGGCGAGUGGCGGACGGGGGAGGGAUACAUCGGAAGCUACUUUUUCGUGGGGGAGAACGUAGGGAAACUUACGCUAAUACCGCAUACGACCUACGGGUGAAAGCUUGGGAUCUUCGGACCUUGCGCGAUUGAAUGAGCCGAGGUCGGAUUAGCUAGUUGGCGGGGUAAAAGCCCACCAAGGCGACGAUCCGUAGCUGGUCUGAGAGGAUGAUCAGCCACACUGGAACUGAGACACGGUCCAGACUCCUACGGGAGGCAGCAGUGGGGAAUAUUGGACAAUGGGCGCAAGCCUGAUCCAGCCAUACCGCGUGGGUGAAGAAGGCCUUCGGGUUGUAAAGCCCUUUUGUUGGGAAAGAAAAGCAGCAGGUUAAUACCCCGCUGUUCUGACGGUACCCACAGAAUAAGCACCGGCUAACUUCGUG
rnacentral:rRNA from 1 species